rnacentral:lncRNA from 1 species
UUGUUCUCUUUUCCUUUUUUUUUUUUUGCUCGUUUAUUGAUUCAUUCAUUUAAUCCAUUGUUGUAGACUUACAGACAGGUGGAAGCCAGCAGACCAGAGCCCUCUGUUCAUAACCUGGAGACCCUCCAAGCAGCUAGCUGGAGAGCCUCAGAGAAGUGCUUGCUUGGGCAUUUCUCUUGGGUAAGCGAAUUUUUUUUUUUUUUUUGGACAAGCUCUCACUCUAUCACCCAGGAAGGCAUGCAGUGGUGCAAUCUCAGUUCACUGCAACCUCUGCUUCCUGGGCUCAAGCCAUCCUCCCACCUCAGCCUCCUGAGAAGCUGGGACUACAGGCAUGCACAACCAUGCCCGGCUAACUUUUGUAUUUUUGGUAGAGAUGGGGUUUCACCAUGUUGCCCAGGUUAGUCUCAAACUCCUGAGUUCAAGCAGUCCACCCACCUCGGCCUCCCAAAGUGCUGGAAUUAUAGGAGUGAGCCACUGUGCCUGGCCAGAUGAGAGAAUUCUAUCUGCCAAGCAGCUAGGCAGACCUCAUAGUCAGGCUCUAAGUGCCUCUGCUCUUCUUGCUUUUCCUGUAUUAUCUGUCAUUUCAAUCAUAUGUAGUGAAUAAUUAUUUAUUAUAUUUUCAUUGUUAGGGAGGUACCACCCGAGUAGAUUUUAGGUAGGAAAACUGCCCCACUCUGCAGAGUGAACUGGAAGUGGCUUAAGAGCUUUGUGAUUUUCUUCUGAGACAAGGUGGCUUAGGGUGGCGAGAUUUACAAAUACAACAGAAAAAUAGAGUCGUAUCAUUCACUGUCCAAUUACAGAGACUCGGAAAGUGGAUAUGUGUUGUGCACACGCUCAGUCAACAGUCAGCCCUGAUUCAGGGAUUAUGGGCAAUGCUUAACGGUUAGGAACUCUUCCUCUCAUCCAAGUCCUAUAGCUUUUUGUUGUUGUUGUUGUUGUUGGGGAGAGAGCCUUGCUCUGUCACCCAGGCUAUAUAAGCAUGGCACCAAUUAUCUCCUUGGCUUCUGGUGAGGGUUUCAAGAAGCUUACAAUCAUGGUAGAAGGCAAAAUGGGGGCAGGUAUGUCAGUCAUGUGGUGAGAGCAGGAGAAAGAGGGCAGCAUUUGUAUAAUAUUAAAUCUAAUAUUAAAUCUUUGGUGAGCAU